CUGAGAAGGGCCUUUCAGAGAUUCGCGCUUUCUUCAACGGAGACCGCGCCAGUCAAGUACGACCAGCAGGGCGCGAAACACGAGGAGUUUGCGGAACUUUUUCCGGGACACUGGCGUGGCGGACCGGUUCGAGGAGUUUCCGAUGCUGCGAGAUAAGAUCCUGCGGACAACAAAUUGAUCUCCAGCAACUUUUGCGAUGUUGACCACACGAUGACGUGGGAACGGAUGAGAAGAUCAGGACGAGACCAUUUCAACUUUGAACGUGAUGGACACGGACCAGUCGUUCUUCUGGUAGUUCGACUCGAAGGUGUCAAAGAUAACUCAGCUUGGCAACUAGUAACGUGCUACAGACGUAUGUAGCCCAAACGGCGGGUUCGGUCGUUGUCAGCGACACCGGCCGAAGGCGCAUUUAAUUGAGAACACGGUUCCGGCAUCUCCGGGAAGGCCGAGACACGCCAUGGAAAUCCGUCCUCCGGAGGAUCAGUUUCUCAUGCCAACAUGUUUGGAGGUGGAAUCUGGCCAAAGUUGAGAACAGUUUUGGUCGGUCUUGAGCCUGUACCCUCGUCGAACACGAACUUGGUCGCUCUCAAUCCGGCGAUCCACGACCUGACGGCCUUAACCCGGUACGCUCGUUGAAAUCAUUCACCAUCUGCGAAUUCGGAC